UUUACAAUAAAAAUUAGUGAUUAAUUUACAAAAUUUACAACUUAUUUUUUUAUUUAACUUGAGUAUCUAAAAAUGAACAUUUCAAAUAUAUAAAAAAAUAAUGAGUCUAAAUUUUAUUUUAUUUAAAAAAAUAAAAAAUUGAUUUCAUCAUUAUUCAUCUAAGAAUUGAUUAAGCUAUUGAAAAAUAAAAGUUAUAAGGUUUAAAGCAUGAGAACUAUAUAUGUUAAAUAACGAGUGUGCUAUAUAGUUAGGUGUUCAAAGUAAUUAUGUACAUUGACUUAUAAUAAAUUGUCUUUAAUAACAAUUUAUAUGACGGAAUUUUUAUAAUAAAAUUUUUAGUAAAGUGUGGGGCUAUUUGAGCAUAUUAAUUUCCUCUUUAAAUUUAUUUUGAUAAAAAUAUUUAUUAUUAUUAUUAUUAUUAUUUAAAAUUCUAAAGUUAACCUCACUAACCUCCUUCUUCUUCAAUCUAAAUGUAAUAAAAUUCUCUAUCUACCAUGGUUAUUCGUAAAUAGAACUCUAACUCUAGAUAGAAAUUAAAAUGGAGGAUAUAUUUGUUAAUUUAUACCAUUAACUUUAGAAAAAAAAAAAUUAAGCGGUGUUAUUUUUUUUUUGGUUGAAAUUUUAGCUGAAAAAAGUCUUUUAUUCUUUAUGUUAGGUGAAAAAAGGGAUGUCGAUGGUGGAUCUUAUUCUUUUUUAUUCUUGAUAGAUUAUAGAAAUAUCUAAAUAAAUUACAAGUAGUCUGUCUCGUCACUAAAAAUUAUUUGCAAUCUAUCACUAAAGAUAAAUGCAAAAAUUGAUGAGAAAUUGAAGAAAUGGGAGAGAGAGAGAGAGAAGAUAAGAUUUGCUAAAAAAAAAAGAAAAUGUGGUUGGUUAGAUAAUUUUAUUUAAAAAAAAACUGUAUUAAUAAUAAAAGAUUCAAUUAAGAAGAAGGUAUUAAGAAGAAAUUAAUGAGUUUAAAUAGUUACACACUUAUUAAAAUUAGAAUAUCUAAAAUAAUUUUUAAAAUAUAAAUAGGGUAUUCUUUCGUAAAUUACCUGAAUUCCGACUAUUUUCGUUUUUUUGCUGAAAUUUUCAUAUGGGAUGGUCCCAAAUCAACUGCAUGUCUUGUCAGUUAAAUUAGUUAAAAGGACUUUUAUAUCUAAAAUGCUGAAUUUUUUUUUUUUCCAUUUUUCAUACGGACCGAACGAUGGCUGUUGAAACUGAACUAUUUUUAUAAAUUGACCACCAUUUUAGCUAUUUUUCCAUUGGCUGGAUCCAAAUCCAAAUCUACCCGCAAUGUUGCACACGUGGCGAGGGUUUUAUUUGCUAGUCUGAGAAUGUUCUUUUAAUAUGCAAGCAGUCGAUCACACACCCUACCUGAGUGUGAGCUCGCGUCAAAAAGUCAAAAGACAAAGCAACGCGUCAAUCGGGAAGCAGACCAGAACAAAAGUGGGGGCAAUUACGGUAAAUAUGCGUAAGAAAGUGAGGGCAGAACGGGAAAUAAAUAAAAAAAAGGAAAAAAAAAGAAAAGGUGGCGUACUUUAACGGCAUAAUUAAAAGCAAAGCAACAGCUUAAAAUGUGCUCUCUGAAGCCAAGCCACCCUGUAAUAUCACAGACCCAGUUCCCCCCCUAUUCUCCUAUACACAUUGCAUUUAGAAGCUACAUAAACCAAAACACUUCCGAAAACUACUCUCAAAAAACAUUUUACACAUGAACCAAAGCAUUUUUAUUACAUUGCUUGCUUGCAUAUAGAAACUAGAAAUAAGAAAAACUUUGUUAUUGUUAUUAUUUUUGUGGGUGGUGUUUGUAUUUGCAUACAUUUGCUGCUUGGUAAGCUAAUGCUAGAGGUAAAGACCUGGAGAGACAACUGUGUCAGCAUCAUUUUUUGAGAUUUGCGUCAGAGGAGAGAGAAAGAGAAGAUCUUUUACUUUUAGCAGAUCAAAGUGAGUUAAAGCAAAGGCGGCGAGAAUUUAUGAUAUGAAAGUGAAAGAGAGAGAGAGAGAGAGAGAGAGAGUGAGCGAACCAUUAAAAACCAAGUUUUGUUGAUAAGUUAAUUGGGGCCUGGGGUGGGUUCAUUGUGAAUUGGUUUGUGAGUCAUCAAUGUCAUUAUAAAGACAAUUUUGACGGGGAACAUGCAGCGAGAGUUACAAGGCAGAUAGAGAGAGAGAGAGACAGAGAGAGAGCGAGAGAGAGCCUCAGACUUGUGUGUUGUGUUGUUCAAUGUAAUUAUGGUGGCGUGUUUUAAGAGAUAAGCAGCUGAAAGAAGCCAUUUUUUGGGUCUGGGUUUGUCUCAGUAUCUGCAAACAAGACAAGAAAAUAUAAGGUUUCUGUUGAUGGGCGGCGUUGUUCGUCAACUUUUCUGAAGGAUUUUUGCUGUUUGGAUUUUGGUUUUUUGUUGCCUUUUAAGGCUUGUUUGGUGAUAAAAAAAAUGAAGUUCAUGAAGCUGGGUUCGAAGCCUGAUACCUUCCAAACUGAUGGCAAAUGCAUCAGGUGAGCAAAUUUCUUUUUUUUUGUUUGAAAGUAUUUAACUCGGUAUGUGUUUUGGAUGGAACUUGAGCUUCUGUUUCUUGUUUCUCUUUUCUGAAAAUUCUAUUUGGUCGUAUAAUUUUAUAUGAUGAUGAUGUGUUGUUCAAUUACCAGAAAGGGAACAUUAACCUUACCAGUUUGAAGAGAAAUCAUCAUUAAGAAAUAAAAUAUUUCUCUCGUAUUCCUUUUGCUAGGUAACAAAUUAACCACAUGGGUGUUUUGUGGAAUAAUUGUUGUUAUUAUUACGUUUGUGUUAUGAUGGGUGAGAGAGAGAGGAAUCAUGGAAGGGGAAAAUAAAGAAGGUAUCUGAUGGGGUGGUCCAGCUGGUGAACUGUCCUUCAUUUGAAGAGUUAGUGGUCCAAAAUGUGGUAAAGGCAUAAAGGGAUGGGAGGAAUUUAAUCAUCACAUUGUGAAUCUUAGUAUGGUUUAGUGAAAAAUUUGGAUGUGGGUGGGUGGAUGAUAUUGGUUAGCUGGUUGGAUAGUCAAAAGAAGUGUUUGCUAAUGGAAUGACCUACCCUACUAUUGGACGGCAUGUGAUGGUUGGAAAUAGUACUGUAGUUUGAUGGUGGGCAUGUUGAUUUAGAACUUAUAAGAGCAUGUGAGGUUUCACCAUUUUGUAUUGUUUGGAAUAACAAGAUUUGAAUGGAGGGUGGACUUGUCGUUCAAUUCAACUAUGAGAGCUUCGUUGGGAUGACAAGAUUUUAAAUAUAACUCUGAGAGCAUCUUUACUCCAGUAGGGGUAGAAUGCUAAGAAAGAGGAUUACUGUUCUUUGCUUCAUUAUAAUUGAGCCAGUAGCCAUUAUGGUUUGUCUAACUUGUUCUCUGAUAUUGUCAUUGAAACUCAAUUUUACUUUUGAAAAAAUAUGAUGCAACUAAUCAACUAUUCAUCCCUGUCCUAGGACUAGACUGGAUUACCAACAUUUGAAGCUUGUUAAUUGUCUGUUGGUUGAAGUGUCUCAAAGAAAUACUGUAAAUUAAUUACAUACUAGUUUGUUUUUGGCUUUUAAAAAUAUAAAAUUUGUUUAACUGGAUAUGGUGUGCGCCUAGAUAUUUACUAGUAUGAUGGAAAACAGAUUUUCACUUGAUGAUCAAUUUCCCUUAAGAUGACGAUAAUUUAGCUGCUCUGUUUGAAGUUUUUAAUGGUACUAAAUGUAUUGAAAAUUUGGGAUAUUGUAGUUUUUUUCUGGUUAUUACUGCAUCUCAUUAAGAUGAGUGACUGUUUAUGGGCUUCACAUUACUCUUUUUUGACUGUGUGUUUAGCAAAAUGUUAUUGCUGCUUAUGCAGGUAUGUGACAUCUGAAUUGGCAACAGAUGUCAUCAUAAACGUUGGUGAAGUGAAGUUCUAUCUGCACAAGGUAUAGUUUUCGUGCUAUUUACUUUUUUCUUCAAGUGAAUGCGUUUGCAUGAACUCAGUCUAGUUGUUAUCAGGCACGUUUUCACAUUCCGCUAAGUUCUUGGACGUUUUAUGAUGUUUGGUGCACAUUUUCCUUUUACGAUUACAAUUGCACAGUUCAGUCUGCCCAUGUUUGUAAAAUUGUUGCUUUAAAUUACUUUUGCAGUUUCCACUGUUGUCUAAGAGUAAUCGGUUGCAUAGACUAGUGCUAAAAGCCAGUGAGGAAAAUUCUGAUGAAAUUAAUAUACUUGAUUUUCCUGGUGGCCCAAAAGCCUUCGAAAUUUGUGCGAAAUUCUGCUAUGGAAUGACGGUUACAUUUAGUGCUUACAAUGUUGUGGCUGCUCGCUGCGCAGCCGAGUACCUUGAGAUGACCGAGGACGUAGAUAAAAAAAACUUAAUUUUUAAACUUGAGGUGUUUCUCAAUUCUAGUAUCUUCCGCAGCUGGAAGGAUUCUAUUAUUGUUCUCCAAACCACCAAAUCUCUUCUUCCAUGGUCUGAAGAUCUGAAGAUAAUUGGGAGGUCCGUAGAUUCCAUUGCUUCAAAAACCUCUGUGGAUCCUGCUAAUGUCACGUGGUCUUAUACAUAUAACAGGAAGUUAUCAGCACCGGACAGGAUAGUUGAGGAGGGUGUGUUUGGGGAGAGAAUUGAAUCUGUUCCAAAGGAUUGGUGGGUUGAAGACAUAUGUGAGCUAGAUAUUGAUCUCUACAAGCGAGUCAUGAUUGCAGUUAAGUCAAAGGGAAGAAUGGACGGUUCAGUAAUUGGUGAGGCACUCAGAAUCUAUGCAGUUAGAUGGUUGCCAGAUUCCAUUGAUGCUUUGGUUUCUGAUGCUCAAACCCUUAGGAAUAAGUUUCUGGUUGAAACAAUUGUUUGCCUAUUGCCCACAGAUAAAAGUGUUGGUUGUUCAUGUAGUUUUCUGCUGAAACUGUUGAAAGUUUCCGUUUUGGUUGGUGUGGACAAUUCAGCAAGGGAAGAUCUGGUGAAGAGGAUCAGUUUGAAGUUGCAUGAGGCUUCUGUUAAAGAUUUACUGAUCCCAGCACGUUCUUCUCAGACUGCUUGUUAUGAUGUUGAGUUAGUGCAAUGCAUUGUGAAUGAGUAUUUGAUGCAUGAAAAGCCUAGUCGGGCUUUGGGUGAUGUCGGCUGGAAUGAAAAGGGACCUGAUGAUUUUGUUUUAGGGCAUGGAUCCUUGUUGGCUGUUGGUAAAUUAAUCGAUGGGUAUCUGGCAGAAAUUGCACAUGACCCUAAUCUUACUCUUGCCAGUUUCAUUGAUUUGUCACAGUCAAUUCCAGAGUCAGCAAGACCAAUUCAUGAUGGACUAUACAAAGCCAUAGACAGCUACUUGAAGGUAUGCUUUUAUACCUAAGAAUACCAAUUCUUUUACAGCUAAGUUGUAUAAUUUAAACUGUUUCUGAGAUGUUCCUAGACCAUUAUUAGCAAGUAGGCCCAAAACCACCCCAAUAGACAGAGAGACUUGUAUUUAUCUAUAAUUAACUAAAAGAAAUGUGUGAUGAUCAAGUCACGUAACGUCUUUUUGUAUAAUUUGUUCCUCUCUUGUUAAUGAGACCGGAAUAUAUAGAUGCAACUAUUAGUGAAAACACUAGUUGAAUGACAUAUGGAUGGGCUACUAUGUCUUCAGGAACAUCCAGACUUGACAAAAUCUGAAAGAAAGAAGAUAUGUGGGCUUAUGGAUGUCCGAAAACUGACGAUGGAUGCCUCUGUGCAUGCUGCACAGAAUGAUCGACUUCCUCUCCGGGUUGUGGUGCAAGUCCUCUUUUUUGAGCAAGUUAGAGCAGCUUCUGAGGUUCAUGCUCUUAGAAACAAUCCCCAAAAUGCUUCACAUUCCACGACAAACACAGAUGAAGAAUGGGAAAAGACAGCGGCAAAGGAUGAUCGCAAGUCCCUUAAGAAACAGAUUAGCCAAAUGAAGAUAAAAGAUGAAGAAUUCCCAAAGAACGUGAAAUUAAUUAAGAAGAACAGCAAAAAUAGCAAGAGUGGGCUGCAGUUGUUGCCAUCUCGGUCAAGAAGAAUAUUCGACAAGUUGUGGAUCGUGGGUAAAGGGCAUGGAGAGAACAGAAGCUCUGAGACAUCCGGGAGUUCUCAAAGUCCAACUUCAUUGGCUCCUGGAGAUACCAAGUCAUCAGGCUCAUCUUCACGACACCGGAGGCACUCUAUAUCUUAGAGGGGAAGGAUUUUAAGGUUAAUAUGAAUUGAACAGGUGAAAAAAGGGGUCAUAAAGUAUCGCAAGUGUAAAAAAAAAAAAAAAAAAUGGGGUAGGUUUUUGUUCUAGUUGAUGAUGGGUCAAUCAAGAAGGGGUUGAUUUGCAGAAAUGCCUAGUCAGUUUCUUUUGAGUACCUUUUUUUUUUUUUUUUUUUUUCCCCUCUGUCAUGACAUCUGUUAAUUCCAAUUGUAAGAUCAUCUAUUUUAUUACAUCAGUAGUUUCAUUGAAGAGCUGUUAAUGUUACAUUUCUGCGUUUCAUUCUCUAGACAAGCGCAGGCUGGUAAAACUUUUUCAUGCACCAUUUGCUUAUUACAAUCAGGAGUGCCUGGAUGGGUAAUUGGAUAACUACUACUAAAGUCAUGAAGAGAUGUACUAAACGGGAUUUUUUCUUAUGAUUUUACCGGUAGCCAGGUCCGCAAAGUCAGAGUAAUGAUAGAUUGAUAAGAUCCUAAAUUAAGGGUAUAUCUUAGAAUUUUGUGAGAAUAUUCUUUUAAAAUUUUGCCGCUUGUUCGAAAUGUCAGAGCUUUACCAUAGUGGAGGCAACCGGCAAGUUUCUGACUGACUAGCCAUUAGAUUACCAAAGCGGCAAAGGCCUAAACAAGUUUAAUGAGUUUGCUCAUGUAUGUGUUUGUCCAGUUUCAAGUUCCGUUGACUUUCUGUAUUUGACCCAUUGGUUCUCCCCAUAACACAUACAAAGCAACACAACUCGCUAACAGAUAAAACAAAACAUUCAGAGAUCAUCAUUGAAACACAGACGGAUUAAGAUUUAAAGAUGAAACCCAGAUACAGAAUCAGCCUUUCCCUUGUUAUCUUCAUCUUGUUCACUCUCUAUUUGCCAGAUAUCACCACCUCUUCAUCAUCAUCAAGAACCAAAUGCAAAGCGUGGUUGGUACAAUCAAUACCCACGGACAUGCCCCACCUGCCUCAUGUUCCUGGAAUUGUUUCUUCUGGUAAACGAAACGAAACCCAAAAAUGUCUAUCUCUUCAAUUUUUUUUUUAAAUUUUAAUUUGUUGUUAUUGGAUGUUUGAUUGUGUGUUUAAAAGGGAAUGUGUUGAAGUGGUUGGCUGGUAACUCUACAAAGAGACUUGAUAUAAUAGCUCAGUAUUGGCAACUAAUUGCACGUCCAAAUGAUUCUCGUUCUGGGGAUUAUGGUUACUCUGAAGAUGAUAUGAAGAGAUUUGGUGCACAAGAAGGCUUUGAUGUUUAUAAGUCCAUUGAGAAUGCUGCUGACCGUAAUGUCAGAGUCAGGUAUUUUAUUUGUCAUUUUCGUUUAGUUAGAAUUCGAGUAAGAUUCAACAUUUUUUGAAAAAAUUUGAGUAGGAUUCUAAACAGCCUUCUGUAAUCUCAUAGGUUUACAAAUCUUUCAUAAAUAAGUUUUCAGUUCAUAUCCCUUUGGUAACUAUCUUUGUUCUGAAUUUGAAUCUUUUUUCAGGCUACUACAGCACUUAGGGGUAUAUCCCGACUUCACUACUGAAGCAUCUAAUCUUGCUUCAGGUAGAAAAAAUGUGGAAAAUGUGACUCUAUUACUUGGUGAUUGGUGGGGUUCAGGCAUUGUCCAUGCCAAAGUUUGGAUAUCAGAUUGCCGUGAUGUGUAUAUUGGAUCUGCUAAUAAUGACUGGAAAUCUCUAACUCAGGUACUUAUGUAUGCAAUGCAAUGAGUUAAUAUUUUAUGGGGAAGUAGAAGAGGUUGAAACUUUGUUCUUUUUUGGGGCCUCAACUAAUUGAUUAAGGAAAAACCAGAAUCUCAAUUUGUUUCUAAUGCAUAUAACACAUGCUUUUGAGACUUCAGGAGUCUGCUUCUGUGGGGUUACAGUGUCAUCAGUAGUCCUGAAUCUUGAUCAUCGCAUGGUUGCAGGUGAAGGAAGUUGGAAUUUAUCUUGUUGGUUGUCCAACAAUAGCAAAAAAGGUUGAGGUUUACUUUGAAAAUCUUUGGACACUUUCGUUUCUUAAUUCUUCAACUUACACAAGAACUGUAUCAGACCAACAAUGGCAGGUUAAUAGAACAGUUCCCUGCUGGUCUCAUUUUCUUGAUCCUAAGGGUAGGUGCAGGUACGUCAGAGAGUUCAUUUGAAAACCUUGAUGAUCUUUGAGCUCUUGUCUGGAGGAAAGUUUUGAUAUUUUGAAGAACUCUGCAAUCUGAUUUCGCUUUUCUUAUCUGAUGUUAGUAGAUACUUCAUUUUCUUCCAUUAUUGAGUGUUAUCCCAUAUACUUAGGAAAGUGUUCUCAGGUUUUGAUGCAACUGGCAUAAUUUAAGUGGAUACGUGUUUAGUAGUAUUAACAAAAUCUUUUAAUUUUCUUUGAUUUUCAUUUUGUUGAGAUGUGUGGACUAAUCAUGUUUCGGAACAUGGCUCUAUGAUUCUGUAGUAGUUUAGUAUUCUCUCUGAUGCAUCUCAGCAUGGAUAAAGACAUUGAUGUUGACUCUAAGCCAGUAAUUUUGUACAAUAGCAGUGAAAAUUGAUCUAGUUUCUGUGCAACUUAGUGGUUGUCUUAGACCUUUCCGAGGUUGACCGAUAUGGGUGCACAAUAUCUGGUGCAGUCACAGCUUAUGUACAAUUGAUAUAUAUUGCAAGUAAGAAGCAAUUUAAUUUAACAAAACCCAUUUUUCUAUCUAGAAAAAGGAAACAGUGUCAAUUUCACCCAUUUACUGGGAUGCAUCGGAAUGCAGUAUAAGUGGAAAAAUACUAGCAGUUUGAUAAAACAGUUGAAAGUUGAUGAUUUAUGUACAGGUCACCUCUCCCUCCAGUUCUUGAGGUUCCUCAUGUGGAAGGCUACCCUAUACUGUCAGACCCUUAUAUGUUCCGAGAGACAAUGGAGACUCCUGGAAGCAAUUAUUCUACUUUGCAACCUCAUUACAGCUACCUCUCAUUUGCUCCUCCAGAGGUAAUUGAACAAUUACCUUGUUGGUAUGCUUGCACUCGCACAAACACAUUCAUAUAUAAACAUUUUUCAUAUGCUCACCACACAAUCUAAAGAAUCAUUUAGAAAUUGGUUGUCAUUUUGCUCCUUCAAGCUUAUCAUUUAGAAUGGAAUUAAAUCCACUGAUAUGUAUGCCUAUAAAGAUCAAUUUACAUCCCAAACAAAAGUUAGGGGGGAAAAAAAAAGAGAGAGGGAGAGGGAGAGAGAGAACGCAGACAAAAUGUUCAAAUAUUCAUGUCUACCUUAUUUCUGGCAAGCAGCUAUCAUUUGGCAAGUAUAUGGCUGAUGAACAAGCUUGGGUGGAUACAAUCAAAUCUGUAGGAACCAGAGCUACACUUAGGAUUAGUACAAUGGACUGGCUUGGUCAAUCCCAAUAUUUGAAGCAAACUGUUUAUUGGUCAGCACUUUCCUCUGCAGUUUCAGAGGUAAUUUCUGACAUCAUCAGUUUUAAGUAUCCUUUUACUGUACUGUCAAAUUUAGUUGUUUAAUACUAGUGAUGUUUAUGAACCACUAGGUUGUCUUCUCCAAGCAUGCGAAUGUGAAGAUACUAGUAGCAUAUUGGGCACAUUUUAUCAACAACACAGAUGAGUAUCUCAAGUCUCUUCUAAACUCCAAUGUCCUUUGCAAUUCUUCGAAGUACAACAAAUGUUCUGGCAAAGUUGAGAUCAAAUACUAUAAGGUGCCAGGAUACAACUUGACAGGACCUGCCAUUCAAAAUGGAAGCAAUACUGGAAAUAUUUAUCCAGGCUUUACGAGAGUCAAUCAUGGAAAAUAUGCAGUGAGUGAUUCACGAGCUCAUAUCGGAACAAGCAACCUUGUGUGGGAUUACUUCUAUACAACAGCUGGUGUCAGCUUUGGAACAUACAAUCCUGCGAUUGUUUCACAGCUUCAAGAGAUCUUUGAUGCUGACUGGAACUCACCAUAUGCUUUUCCUGUCGAAGAGUUGGGUGACGGCCAUGCUCAUGCUUCUAGCAUUUAAAUGCUUGCUAUUGUUUCUCAAUUUAAAGUCAGUUCAACCUGUAUCUUGCCCUAGUAACUGUACAUGGAUGAGCUGAUCAUAGUUUCAUUUUCUUCUUGUUAACAGCAUAGUUGUAUUUGCUUUGAAGUAGAUGCUUCCUAGCUUGGUACUAAUUUCAUUUAUUUGAGAAUGACUAUAAUGAACAAAAUAAUGGUUGCAUAAGCCUAAUCUCCAUGCUUCUAGUUCUUUUCUACUCUCUCUAAUUUACACAAACAACGACACUAUAGUCUUCAAAUUGAUUGCAAAAUUUGUAUUUUAACACUUAUCAACAAUCGCGUCACCUAUGAGGCAAAUUGUUGCGUUUAUUAUUAAUUUAUCCAUAUUAUUAAAUAAGUAGCAUGUAUCCAUAUUAAUUUAUCACAUUAACGCAAUUCUAAUUUUUUAUUUUGUACUUUGAAUGUAAAUUGUAAUACAAAAUUGAAAAAAUUACAACUAUAUUUUAUCAUAAAAGAAAUAAUUAAUUUUGACAAAAUUGAUGAUUAUUUUGCAAUAAGUUCUUUCAUUUUUUUUUUGAGCCCAUGUUGGCCCAAAAGGAAAAACCCUAUGAACCAAAAACCUCGAAUCAAAAAUUGACCAAUCAGUCAACAAAUCGGACGGUGGAGAUCGCUUCUUCAGGCUCAAGAGUAGAAGAGUCACUCAAACACAGUAAAAACAGAGACGAGAACAAGGCGUCUUCUUCAGCAAAAUCCGAGCUUUCAAGUGGAAAAAUGCAGAGAAUCAAAUCUUUGUUAAGAAUAAAGCAUUCAUUUAAACAAGUAGCGUUUGUGUCUCAUCAACAGAGAAGCUUUUCUGCUUUACCGGAUUACUCGUCAAAUGAUUAUCUUCAAGACCAGGUCUCUUUACAUUUACCCAAAGGCUCUUCCCCCCCCCCCCCCCCCCCCCCCCCCCCCACCAACAAUAAUCGUGUUAUUUUUGUAUUUAUAUUAUUAUUCAUUACAUAACCAUUUAAGUUUCGGAGCAAACCCUUCAUUUUAUUUGAAAAAGUUUUUUUUUUUUUUUAACUCAAUGUAUGGUUCAGCUUACUGCACUGUUGUGAUUUCUUAAUUCAUCAAAUUAUGUUAUUUUUGCAUUCAUAUUCCUAUUGAUAGUGUACACAAUUAAGUUUUAGAGGCCACUCUUCAUUUUCUCCAUAGAAGGUUAAAUUUUUUUAAAUCAACGUAUUCUUCUAUUUUUGCUGCAAGUUUUCUUUGUUUGUGUGUGACAUCAAUUAAUUAUAUUAGUAUUCAUAAAAUACCCACUUCAGUUUUAGAGGUAACUCUUCAUUUUCUUUGAAAAAGAUUAAAUGUUGGGUUCUAUUUGAUCUUUAAGUUAUAUUAUUCGUCAGUGUCUGUUUUUUAAAUCGAAUUAGUUACAUAAAAAGUUUGUUACUUUACUGUAAAAAGUUUUACUUUGUAAAUUCAGGUCUUAGUUGAAGGAAGAGCUAAGUCAAGAGCAGCUAUUCUCAACAGACCCUCUAAUCUGCAUGCUCUUAAUACUUCUAUGGUUUGUUCUCUUUACUAUUUUGUUUAAUCCAUACAUAUGUAGAGACUAGGAAGCCGUUAAUAUAUUGGGGUUUUAAUGGCUGAUUUUUAUCUUAUUGAUAGGUGGGUAGGCUGAAGCGAUUGUAUGAAUCAUGGGAAGAAAACCCGGACAUUGGGUUCGUCUUGAUGAAGGUAUAUAGUUUCUCUUUGUAUGUUUUGAAGCUAUCUUAGUUUUGUUCUUGAAAUCAUGUAUUUUUCAGCUUCGUGGAGGUGUUAGAUGAGAGCAUAACAAUUUGAGAGUAUUGUGUUUUUUAUUCUAAAGCCUAUUACUUGAUGUUUCAAGGAGAUACUUAUUAUCGUGAUAGACGUAAUGACAUUUGUAGUUGCAAUUUUAUGUAUGUCUCAUUUAAUAUCUACAUGGAAAUGUUCUUAAAAUUGGAUUUCAGCACGCAUCUCAUGCUUCAAUUUUGGCAAUAGUUUUAUUCUAAGCUUUAUCUUGAAUUUUUUGAAGGGCGCUGGCAGGGCUUUCUGCUCUGGUGGGGAUGUCAUCGCUCUUUAUCAGUUACUUAAUGAAGGUGGAUUACAUUUCAAUCUUUUCUGAAUGUAUAUUCAUCAAUAUUGACUCUAUUUACUUACUAGUUUCAUUAUCCGCCUGUAAAUUUAAAUGACUACCGGUCACUUGGGUAGAAAUUAUUUUCCUAUGCAUAACUGAUCAGUUGCUGUUAGUCUUCUGUUUUGGUUUCAAACAUGUCAUAAAAUUUUAUUCAGUUUUUUUUUUUUAAUUAGAAAAAAAUGUUCUUGUAGUUUGCAUAAGAAAGUUACUUGUGUACUUCUCUGACUAUUUUGCUUUAUUGCAGGAAAAUUUGAAGACUUUAAAAAUUUUUUUGAGACGUUAUAUCAGUUUGUAUACCUUCAAGGAACAUAUGUAAAGCCACAUGUGAGAGUUCACCCUUUUCUAGAGUUCAUUGUUGAGAUAUAGUUUAGCGCUUUAGGUAUUUUAUCUAAGAUAUUGAGCCCUGAUCUUUAUAACUUGGGAUAAUGGCAAAUCCUUGGAUGUUCUUUUUCUAGUAACUUUCUUCUUUUCUUGCAUAAUUUAACUUUCUGUAACUGUUUAACUGUACUGCCUGUCUAAUGGAAACUUGUACAGGUGGCUAUAUUGGAUGGUAUCACAAUGGGAUGUGGAGCUGGGAUUUCGCUGCAGGGGAUGUAUCGUGUGGUCACUGAUAAAACUGUAUGUGACUGGCUCUAUAUUUCAGCAAAUGUAGUUAUUACUAUUAGAAAUCACAAUCAGAUACCUUCCUAUUGAUGCUGUGUUCUUUAUCGAAGGACUUUUAGAAAUGGGCCUUCUGGUGUAUGUGAUUCAUAUACACUCACCAUCUUCUUCAAAAUUCUCUCAAGAAAAUGUCUUACUUAUGCCUAAAAUUUACAGGUUUUUUCUAAUCCAGAAACUCAAAUGGGGUUCCAUCCCGAUGCAGGGGCUUCGUUUUAUCUGUCUCACCUGCCUGGUUACUUAGGUGAGGUCCAUCUCUUUCAGCUUUGAGGAUGCAAUUGUUUGCAAAAUUGCUGAAGUACUUUGAUAUAUGUUAGUUUUCAUUUUCUUUUAUGUACAUCUAUAACUGCUGAAGUAGGGAAAUGCUUCCAUUUUGCCUACUCUUCUUUGGGUUUUGUUUCUUUCAGGAGAGUACUUGGCUCUAACUGGAGAAAAGCUCAAUGGUGUAGAAAUGAUUGCUUGUGGUCUUGCCACCCAUUAUACGUUAAAUGCGGUUAGUUAUACUGCACUUUAUUUUACUUCACUCUGUGUUUCUUCUCUUUGUUACUCUUCAUAUGCAGCGUAUAAUUGUUUUCUAAGUCUCCCUGACAGAGACUUCCACUGGUUGAGGAACGAGUCGGAAAAUUAAUCACAGAUGAUCCUUCAAUCAUAGAGACUUCUCUUGCUCAAUAUGGUGACCUUGUCUCUCUAGAUAGGGAGAGUGUUCUUCGCAAGUAAGGUUCCAGGAUAGUUUUCUUACUUCUGCCACCUGCCUCACUUGGCAUCAAUUUAUUAUCUCUUACACAAAAGCUGAUGCUUUGGUGAUGUUCAUGAUUAAAAUUCUGAAUUAUUUAUUUACCCUUUUCUCUUGUUUGGUUUCAGGAUUGAGACAAUUGAUAAAUGUUUCAGUCAUGACACAAUCGAGGAAAUUAUUGAUGCUUUGGUUGGUUUUAUUGGUUAUUAUUAUUAUUAUUAUUUUUCCCUUCAUUGAUUUAGUAAAACUGCAUAAACUGAGAAAAAAAUGAUUAAAGAUAGAAAAAGAAAACUUCCAUUGAAAACUUGUAAUGUCUUCACCAAGUGGAGAGAUUUGCUUUUGCCAGCUAAAUAGUUAGAAACCGGCUCAUAUAUUUUGCAAAUGAGCAUUACAAGUUAAAUCAGAUUAGGUAUUUGGAUUUGAUCUAUGAAAGACUAAUAAAGACUUUCCGUGCUGCCUUUGGAGUCUGGCUUCAAAAAAUUGUCCUCAUGAGUUGUAUCCGGAUGCUUCAAAGUUGAAAACUUGAUUUCCACUAGAGCUUGAAGGUAUCGUUUUCAGGUCUCAAUAGAAGUUAGCAAUUUACACCACUUGUUGCAAUGUGGGAAUCAGUAAUAACCGUGCACUGCACUCCAACAUGUGUUGGGCAAGUUGGUUUUGCCUCGUAACAAAGAUAACAUUGAUAGAGGAAGCAAAUUUAAUUUUCAUCUGGUUGAUUAAGUAUUUAUUUUACUUGUUGUCAUUGUCCAUGGUGCUCAGGAAAAUGAGGCAGCUUCCUCUUAUGAUGUAUGGUGCAGAAAAGCUGUUGAAAAACUGAAAGAGGCAUCUCCAUUGAGCUUGAAAGUUACUUUACAAUCAGUAAGGCUUCUUUCCUUGUAUCUCCAUUCAGUUGCCAUUUGGCUUAUUACCAGCCUGACUUAAGUUUCUCUUGCUGCAUUCAGAUACGAGAAGGUAGAUUCCAAUCUCUUGAUCAGUGUUUGGUACGCGAAUAUCGCAUAACCCUCAAUGGGAUCUCCAAAAAGGUCUCAAAUGACUUCUGUGAGGUAAAUAGACAUUUCAAAAGUUUGACGUAGGAGACACUUUUAAAUCUCUUACUGAUCUUACCACUUGAAUUCACUUGUCUACAGGGCAUUCGGGCUCGGUUAGUGGAUAAAGAUUUUGCACCUAAGGUAAAUUCUUUCACCAUCCCAUUUUAGCUAUAUUUACUUCUUCCGAGCUUGCUUAAAUUGGGUUGUAAUUUCAAAUAUGCAGUGGGAUCCUCCAAGUUUAGCAGAUGUGAGUAAAGAUAUGGUCGACUGCUAUUUCUCCCCAUUUGAUGAGUUGGAGCCUGAACUGCAGCUGCCCACGGCGUUGCGAGAACCUUACAUCUGAGAUAGAUUUAUACAUUUUGAAGCAAGAAUGCUGAAAUUUUGUCGUUGUCAUCUGUUCUAAUCAACCUGUGCCAUUUUUCAUUUUUUGGUUAUACAUAUUGAAAAUUUUGGAAUAUAAUUUGUUGUAAUUGCAUAUUACCUUAGGCCUUGGAUGUUCGAUAAGAUGUUCUCUUGAUUAUUUUAUACAAUAAUUUUAAGCAACCCUUUGAAAUUUAUUUCCUCUGCCUAGAUGUGAGAAUGAGUAUAAAUAAAUAAUAAAUUUAUAGGAGAUUUGUUAAACCAUAAUUGGAUUUUGAACUAUGAUAAGAAUUUCAACAGCUGCAGAUGAAGGCCCCAGGCUUAAGCUUUGACCUUGAUAAAAUGAUGACAAUCAUGUGCACAACGCACCCCCGUGCGUGACAAUACGCUUGUCAAGAUCCAAACAAGGGAGCUGAGUGCGACAGUCAUGCUGAUCACUUCCCACAAGUUAGAUGCCACAAGUCCCCACAAAUUCAAUAGCUAACUUUGUUACAAACUCUUUCAUGGCCAGAUAUUAAUAUCAAUAUGCUGAGACCUAUAUUUUAGCCAGGAAAAUAGAAGAUUCAUUAGGUAAAAGAAGCUAGCUGCUGUUGAACUAGCUAGCUGCUGUUGAACUGACAGCUUUUGUACUUUUAGAUGUCAUGCACUUGGACUCGAUAUAGAUUGUUAAGCUAAACAACUGCUUUCUAUAGAUUCUCAGUUAUCUCAGAACUUUCACAUACACACACCUAAGACUAGGUUAAAAAGAGUUCUAUAAACAUUUUAUACCGCCACCAUGGAAACUCUAGAGAGCUGUGUGUCAAACUUCAAAGUGAUGCCCAUACUGAAAGAAGGUUCUUGACUAAGUAACUUGGCCCCGUAAGGUACAUUAGCCUUAAUGAUGUCAUCAGCAGAAUUACAAAUACGACAAUAGGGGCCUCAAACCUUGCACCCACGACCCAACACUCGUUGGAUCACAUUUACAAUAUUCAUGCAUUUUCCACAAAUGCAACUGAUAGGAGUCACUCAGUGUAAACAGGCGUUCAUGCUGUAAACAGGCAUUCAUGCAAGUUGGUCAAUGCACCACGGGCUAUAAUACGACAAUAGGGGCCUCAAACCUUGCACCCACCACCCACCACUCGUUGGAUCACAUUUGCAACAUUCUUGCAUUUUCCGCAAAUGCAUCUGAUAGGUGUCACUCAGCUUAAACAGGCGUUCAUGCAAGUUGGCCGAUGCACCAUGGGCUAUAAGACAGUCACGCUUCAUCUCACCAAACUCGAUCCCAUCAAAUCACUUUCUGUCUGCCACUGGCCGUCCGGUAAGGGGUUGGAAUGGCCUAGUGUUUCGGAAUUUUACUUUGUCCUCAGACAUGUGAAUAAAUUGCUGGUAAAAUGUUAUCCAUGUAAAUAUGAGUGAACGAACCACUUAACCAGUUCGGCCAUCAUAAAGUCUCUCUGUUCCCCAUUUGGAAAAUCCAGCCCUGUCACGUAUGUACAGAAAAUGAAUGCUAUCCAGUCCAUGGGACACUCAAACAAACAAAACAGAAAGUAAUGCUUGAAUAUGAGAGUAAUUCCGCUGUUUCUGGCCCCAAUGCAAUUUAGCAACUGAGACACAAAACUGAAACAAAAUAGAAUCUAAAAGAUGACGAGCCAAAAGCUAGAUAAACAACGAAGUAGGGAAAAAAAAAAAGAAAAACAAUUUGUUUAGGCACAGAACACUGUUGCAAUUUCAUGAUGCAUACUCAGCCACCAAAAUCCAAAUAAGAAAAUUUCUUAUUUGCUAUGACACACUGCAGUAAUAGCAUAAAAAUCAAUACUUGCAAGUAACCACAGUUACCUCUGAAGUUGCUCAGUGAUGACCCACCAGUGGAAGUGGCAAAAGGAGUGGCAUAUCUCAUCAAGCCAUCACAGGCCCCCUUUCCUAAAGCAGCCUCUAAAAGUUGAGCAGGAGUUUGCCUUGAAGGAAAAGCAUGUGGAUUUUAACAAUGCCUUGUAUCGUAAAAGGGAAAUUUUAUUGACUCUAGAAAACCUAAUACACCCUUCUGCCCAUGCAUGCUUGAGAACUUGUCUCCAAGACAAGGAGAAUGAACCUACAUUAUGAAAUCCAAAAAAUCAUAAAUAUUAAUGAAGGGGGGCACUUUUUAAGGUGGAUUCACCAACCAGAAGGCCGUCUCAAUAAUUCAAAACCAGACCAAGUUUAAGCAAAUUUAAAUGAACAUUUACUACACCUUGAUGAUAUCUUGCAUUUUUGUACAAUUUUUCUUGUUUCCAUUCACACACACUGCCAUCUUCAACAUGCACAUAAUAUAGAAAAUUACAAGUAAACGCGAUCGUGUGAAUGUUUGCAUACAUAUAUGAAAAUGAAAAUAGUGAUUCAGGUGAAAUACCAUAUUGACUGACUGUCUGAUAGAUACCACAGCAAAAUUCUUUCCAUCAUCAUUAGAAGAUAGCAAAAUUCUUUCCAAUCCCUGUUCGGUGUGCUUCAAUUUUAUACUGUGAUCAGCCCCAAUUUCUGCAUAUUUUCCAAUCACAAUGUCACCGCUCUAGAGGUUAACAUCAACACAAGGAAAUCCAUCAUUAUCUAGGCUGUCAGCACGGCCAACUUUACUUUGUAUCUUUCUGAAGUUCAACAUAUCAUCAGAUGGCCGCCUCUUCACCUGUAUAUCUUUGUUAUCGACCUCAGCCUUGUAACUUUCAGAUCAAAACACGCCGCACUCCAGAGAGGCCUGGUUCAUAACCAGGGAGUCCUCUUGGUUGUAUCCCAAGUGGACGUUCACAGCCACAUUGGCAUUCUACCCAUUAUCGAGCUCUGGCCUUGACAGAUUAUGGCCAUAACCUGGUCUUCCGAGACAAUCGGAAAUCAAUGUCCAAAAAAGAGGCCUCUGAGGAUAAAACAGCUGCUGCAAUAGAGUAUCCACUCUGAUGUUUGGAUUGGUUGUUGGAAAACCAAUGGCCUGAGGAGAAUGCUUCUGGGACUGAUAAAGGACCCAACCUUGCAUGGUCAUGGUUUGCAAAUGGGAUGGGAUAAUCCCACAGCUCAAUCCUAGCAAGAACGACAUGUCAAGUUCACAGUGAAUGAACUUAAUGGGUUUCUCUAUUCAAUCUCCUUUAAAAGUUAUUUAAUGCCCCAUGCAGUACAACAAUCUUCCUCUUCUUCAGUUCCAACAAGCUCUACUAUUCCGUGGACAAGGAUUGGAAGGAUUCAUUUUUCCCUUCCAAAGAUUUAACAGCUAAAUUGGUACUAAGGUUCUAAACACAUAAAUUUCAAAGUUAUCAUCAUCUGAGAGGUGUACAGAAAAUUCGUCAAGCCACAUGGAAUGAUGUGUAAUCUUGGGAUUAAUUAAAUAUUCCCAUAAAUUAAUUCACUACAGAUAUAGCAUUAAUGAAAUUAACCAUACAUGAAAACAAAUAGAGAAGGGAGUUGUAACAAAAAUACACAGCAAUGUUAAAGAAAAAUAAGAAAGCUUCAAACUCACCUUCUCUGCACCUUUGAUACAAAAGUAACCCCCAUGAUCAAAAUCACAAUCACCUUUCUCUGCUCCCUUCAUCCAGCAGAGGUCAGACUUCACCAUCAGAGGAAUCCUCCCAAUUAUGAUGUCCUUAGUUUCCUCAAUUAGAACCUCCUUCUGAAUAAAUUGUUCUCUUCUAGUUUUGAAAUUGCCACUUAUGACACGUUUUUAAGUGUGUACCUGACAAAGUACAAUGAUGCAACAAGAUGUAAGUAAUUAAAAGGCAGAAAGACAAGAAUAAAAAUAUCACACCCAAAGAAAUGCCAUUUUAUCAAUAGAAAAACUAACAGCACUUUUUAUUCACCUGAAGUUAACGUUAACUUUCAUCCAGGAUGAAUAUGUCAUAUUCUGCAACUUUGCAUGCCUAGGAAGCAUGUCCUGCACGUCACCUCCUUCACCAGCAAAAAUCUAGGCUUAUCAAGAGUGACCUGCCCAAAUCUCAUCGAAGCAUAUCGCCACUGACCCUCUCCUUUCUUUGAUGGAUCCUAACCAGGCUCAACUACAGUCACACCAAAAGAAUCAAAGGCUGUCUGGAGACCAUUUUUUAAUAAACUCAUUGUAUGAGUUGAUCUGGUGCCUAACCAGACCAUAUUCCUUAAAGAAAGACAUUACUGCCUUCCUACAGAAUGUUUUCAAAAACUCCUCCCCAAGAUCAUGUAUGCUGCUUGGAUCUGUAAAUUCAUUAUCAUCUUGAACUGAAAACUUUUCAUCCUUACUACUCAUGGCUAUACCUUCCUUGGCAUUUGACGAUGCCGGAUGCCCCCAUUUGUCUCAAAAUCUGCAAAUAUAGCAAAAGUAUAAAAGAUUUAAAAAAACUAAAAAAUGAAUAAAUACAGAAGAGAUUGUCUCAAAAUCUGCAUGCUGCAUGCAAAGCAAAGUUCAAGUUUCUACGUCUCUUAAUCCAUCUCAUUUUCAUUUCCAAAACACAAAAAGCACAACCGAACUCCCAAAGAAAUGGAGACAGAAACUUACGUCGAGCUUUCAAAUUCAAUUCGGCGUGUUGCGUCAAUUGUCAAAUAGACGUUAAAAAAACUGAAUCUUUAUUCACCAACACUCUCAAAAUCAUAACUUUCUCGGGUUCAUCAACGGUCAUUCAGACAAUGUGUAUGACGAAAGAGAAGUAGAGAACAGAGCCAGAGAGAGACGAUGAAGCCGAAGAGACGCUCUUCAAAUUUUGUUUCUGUUUUGUCAGUGUCUCUGCUGGUUGUGUUGCUUUUUGAGGAGUGGUUUCACUGGUAAUAAGUUGUACUUUCAAGAGGUGAUCUUGUAAAUUCAUUAUUAAGGAUUUGGUACGGAAAGGUGUAUGGUUAGAGCCUAGAGGACGAUUUUUUGCCUUUGAAAUGCUUGGGAGAGGACUGAUGAAAAAGCAACUGAGUUAUAGGGUUAAAUUUGAGAAAACAAAUAUUCGGUGAAUUUAACUUGCAAAAUUAUUUAUUAAUUAAUCACAUUGGAAUAUAGUCAUCUCACAUUGGUAUUUUACAUUUCAUUCGAAAUGUGUGACAUUUUUUUAUUGAUGAGAUUUUUAGAUUAAUAACUUUUUUUUUAAAAAAAAAAACUAAUUAUAAUUAGAUGAUUACUGCAAAUAUUCUAAAUUAUGAAGCACGAUUUAAGAGAGAAUUAUAUUGAGAGAGGGUAUUAUAUCUUGUUAAAAGAACCUAAAUUUGUGAGAGUAGCAGACUACUAGCAGCCCAUCAUUCUUCAGUAUUAUCAAAUCUUGAAAAAUGUUUUCGUUUGCCUUAAAUUGCUGUAGUGUAUGUAUGAGAUCAAAGUAUUGUAACUGUGUGCUUUUAAAAUUAAUCAAAAGAACAACAAUUACAAACGUGCGCGUAAUAUACAGUCUAUGAUGAAUCUCAUCAAAUAUUAAAAAUAAAACCAUAGUACCUGGAACUAUUUGGGUGGAGGAUAGUAGAAUAAUUUAGAAGACAAUAAAUUGAUGUUCUAUCUAUGUAUUGGCCUGCAUUGCUAAGUAUAUGAUCUUCUAAAUACAGAGCUUUGAGUAUAAAUUAGAUUUAAAAUGAAAUAUUGUUUAUUACUAGAUCAUGGAGAAAAUGUGACGGGUCUAAGACAAUAGCUAGCACAGGUUUCAACUUCAAUCCAAGCGGCGAAGGAGGUACUCAACUUGAACGAGCUUGGUAAAGGGCAUGAUCCAAUCUCCAUAGAGUCUUGAAACUACAGAUGGAUCCACUUUGAACCUCGCUUGCUUGUCGCCGUCAUUGCCGAGGCUCACUUCUUGCCCGAGUACCAUCGCCUUCUUCUCAACUCUCUUCUUCACCAUCUGUUCUACAUUCUCAUAUGUUAAUAGAUUCAUCAGAGCAUCUCUGUCCUGAAAAAAACCAAAACAAUAACUUAGUUAGUUAGUGCCAAAUUAUCGUUUUUGUCUUACUUGAAUUGCUGCUGGAGAAAACUAAGACAUUAGAGAUGACGGGUAAGUUGUAUGAAGUUCUAGAAAUGAUGUUAAGAAAGUUGAAGUUGGAAACUUAAGCAGAGUUCCACCACAUGACAAUGUUCUAAGAUUUUGUUGAAUAUUGCUUUACAAUGUGGGUUCUGUAUGUCUAGUGAAAAAGAUUCACCUAUAAGAUAGUAUUCGAGGUAGAAAACAUAAUGUUUCAACGAUUGAACAUUUAAAACUUUGAAAUCUGUGCUCUACGUAGAAAAUUCACAGUUUAAGAAACGCUGCUAGAGGAAAUUAACUAGUCCGAGAUGACAGGUAAAUUGUAUGAAGUUCAAGAGAUGACAGUUGAGAAAGAUAAGCAGAGUUUCAUCAAACAAAUAAUUGAUCGCAUGGGAAUUACAAGUGAACUAUACAAAAGAAUGAAGUUCAAGAAACGUUAACUAUAAGAUAGUAAUUAAGGCAAGAAACAUUAUUGUUUUGACAGUUGAUCAUUAUGAAAUUUAAAACUGGUCUCUACAUGUCCAGAAACUUCCACAGCAUAUCAAUAAAUUCGGUCCUGAGUGCUUAGGAAAGUCUCUAGUUCUUCACAUUGGUAAGUUGGUAAAACUAAUGAAGAAACUUGCUGAAAUUACUUCAGUGUUUAACGAUAAAGAUUUAAUACCUUAGCACGAAUUGCAAGUUCAUAUUCAUGCGGGGCAUCCCUGAAUUUAACCUCGGCUACGAAUUUCCCAUAAUGUAUCCUUCUAGAGAGAGCCUGGAAGGGAAUAGGUAUCAAGUUGAGCCAAUAUUAAUUGAAACAAUCGUAAGAUCCCUUAGUUUUAAUCUUGAAGAGAACUAUUGCAAGUGCGACACAAAUAAAAAGGAAUAUGCCCCGAUUACCUGUAGACAGGCAAGAUCGCUAGUGGCAGUUGAUGCAUAGUUGCCAUCAUCACCCUCAGCAACAAAAAGCGGAAGCAAUUGGUUGAAGUACAUAUCCCAUAUGAUCUUAUUUAUGUUGAUUGAAGUGCCUGCAGGAUGCAAAACCUAUGCUCGGGAUUAGUCAAAAAGAUAAAUGAACUUGCUUUCAAGUAUAGAAUUAUGGAAAAGAAAACCAGAGUUCUGGUAAACUAAUUUACCUGCGGAUAUUUGAAAGGCGGUACAAAUGAAUGUGGCAGAUUAUCAGGGAAGAAGGGAAUUUCUUCUGGGUUCUCAUAUCUCCCAGCCUUUUGCAUGCCAUAUCAAAUACCAUUUUUAGAGUUAGAUUAACCAAUUCAAAACAUAACCAAAACAAAACUAAUCAUUAACUCAAUGUUCACCGGCAAUAUUACUGAUUUAACAAAUGGCAUUCUAUUCAUAUGUCAACACAGCCUCACAUGAGUAGCUACUGAAAAAAAAAAAAAAAGAGAGAGAACAGCAGAACCAGAAAAACAAACCAUCAACAGUUACAGAACAUUAGAUAAGCUACAAGGAGACAUCACUAUAAAUGUAUAUAAGAAUUAGCAGAGCUCAUUAAAAUGUCUGAGCUAUUCAGAAACCCGACUCUACCAUCUCAAUAUAUUGACAAACACUAUAUCCCCAAUAAGCCUAUAACCUGCUCUGAAUUAAUAAGUUGCAUUAAUAGUUAAGUUGUAAAUUCGUGGGCAAGUCCUCCUUCCUAUUCAAAAAUCAAUAAAAUAUGCAUAUUUUAAAACUUAUGUACCACAUUCUGUAGCAAACAUUGUAAAAUACAAGCCUUUUAUUUUAUUCUCUCAAUCAUGUGCUACGGUUAUGAAAGACGAGUAUAAUAAUAUUAAUAUAGACAGAAUCAUUACAUGUCAUGGACCUGGUGAUGAAACAAAAUCCAGCAGAUAAAGAGAAAGACAUAUGAAUCAAACAUAACCAACAAACAAUUUUAAAAAAGGAAAAAGGACAGAAACUUACUGUGGCUUGCAUGGCCUCCGAUUGUUGAACAAUGUAUUGAAGCAAAGAACCAGAGAAGCCAGGAAAUGAAGCAUAAGAUUGAUCAUAAGCUGGAGCAUUAAGAGGGUGCUUAGCUCUCUCAAUGAGACAGAAUAUAAUGGUAUCUUCUUGCCUAAUCAAUGAGUCCCUCACCAAGUCAAGCGUUAAAUCCCCUGCCAAUGCCAUCUUGUUCUCUACUACAAGGACUACAACUAUCAACACAACCAAAAACAUUCUCAAUGCAAAAUAGAGAAUCCUCAAUAAACAAAAUGAGAAAAUAAACACAAAUGAAAAAAUAGAUUCUUAGUAAUCGUUACCAAAUCUUUUCUUAAUUAAGAAGAGAUAUUUCUUCCUCUGGGCUGAAUGUCUAAUUGUGAACUAGAAAAUAUAGAAAUGGCUGGCGCAGAAGGAAAGCGAUGAGCGUGGCCGCGUGGGGUUAGUGGGGGCCAUUUUUUUAAAGGCAAGAGAUUGAGUAACGUCCAAAUUUUGCGUGGAUUCCAUGGUUGCGUUUCCUUUUUCAAGUGAUUUAUUGUUAGUGGGGACUUUUCGCAAACACGUUUUCUACAUAGUUUUAUGUCUUAGUCAUAGACCCGAUCAUUCUGUUCUGCCAAUAAUAUUAUAAUUGGGUUCUCGGCUGAUUUUGAUAUUUCAGUCGGCAUUGACUUGGAUCUGAAAAUUACGUCACAUUCAUAUAACUGUUUCAUACUGGGUUGGAUUUAAAGGGUUUUUUUUUUAAUUUAUAUUAUUUAAUGAUGGUUAACAGGUUUAAUCGAACAGUGAUCCAUUGAUAUAAAACAAAAAAUAUGCGUGGGCUACUUUAUACUUUCAGGGAUUUGUCCGUGGUAUACCCUAAAAAAAGGGUAUUUAUCUAAAAAUACCUCCAUACUCAAAAAUUUCUCGUAUAUGCCUUUUCUAAUAUGCAGUUACGAAAUUACCCUAAUGAAAAACCUAAAUCAACUAAACUACCACAAUCAAUCGUGUAACAAAAUCCCUAAUUUUUUCUCAUGAGCAGCUUCUUCUUCAGCCCGUUCUUCUGGGUUUCUCCUCCUCCAUUUUACAAAUCCCUAUUAUUUUACAACAAUUCUUCUACACACUCUCGCCUCUCUGCAAAUCAGUAGCUGCAAUUCCCCCACUCUGCUUCAGCAUCUCCUCUUCCAGGUACUUUUAGAAAGUCAAAUUUUUUGUUUUAAUGUAAAAUAAAAUUUGAAAGUUUCAAAGCUCAAGUUAUUGAUUUUUCUGAAAAAAAUCAUUUGCAGCUGGUAUUGAAAUGUGUGCAAAGUCUUGUGCCAAAAGCUUAAUUUUCAUUUCUCGCAAAAGUCAGAUGACAAGACUUCACUUGAUUAGGCUUAUGCUUGUCUUUUACCUUGCAUUAAUUUUCAUCUCUUGCAAAAGUCAGAUAAUAAGGUUUCACUCGAUUAGACUAGUAAUUGAUUUAACAUAUUCAUUUUCUGAUUAAUUGUCAUCCAAUUUGCACGCACAUCGGAUAGAAUUCAUUCAAAAAAAUGGCUCGUAAGGUACGGGAGUCCAAAUACUUAUAAACCUACACACCAAGCCUUAGCUUAGCAAUAUGACACUCAAUUAUAGUUCAUAACCGAUAUGCAUGGUGGCCAUAUAUGGGGCUGAGUGACUUCACAGAUUUCAUACAAGGUGAAUAGCAGGUCUUCUUCUCAACUUACUUCGUCUGUGAAGAGAGAUUUCAUCAAAAAAUUGGUAAAACUCAUUCAAAAGACCGACUUAUGAUGUUAGAAAGACCAAAUACCCUAUAAAAUGCUUAAUAAAGUGGUCGCACAAUUAUUCUUGUGUACACAGUACCAAUGCAAUAGAAAAUAGGAUAAACAUUAAUGUCUCUAGCUACUCAGUCCAAUAGACAGUAUAAUCUAAAGAUGUCGUGUUGUUGUAUUGUUACACUGGUGAGACAAUUGCUGCAUGUUGCAGAAAUGAUACCUCUAGUACUUCAAAAGAUAGCAUAUCACGAAACACAUCCAGACUGUAGUGAGGUUAUUUCGAAAAUUCCUUGGCCCAUUGUGUGAGUGCGUGACAUCCCGCAACAAAAAUCAGGGUAUGUACUAUAUAUAUAAUGUGUUUUGAACAUAAUAAUAAAAAUGAUGAUUUUUAACAAUUGAUUUAUAUGAAUUUUUUUAGUGGUGACUGUGGAGCAUUUUUGUUGCGGUACUUGGAGGUCCUAGCCCAUGGACUUGAUGUCAAUUCAUACUGCCAACAAGAUCAUGUUACACAAUUUCGACAAGCCUUGGCUGUAAAAUUAUUUGGGCAUAGGUCAUGGAAAAAAAACUCCGUAGUGUCAUUUUUUGGAUUAUGAGAUGUAAUAGUUGUAAUGAGGAUGUUGUUGAUAUUUGAUGUCAUUAAAGACAAUUGACAGCAUUAAUAUAUUUUAUUUCUUUGUUAUUUAUAUUAAUGAUAGAUAAGAUAGUUUGCACAAUAUAUGCACAGGGAAUACACUGUAAGAGAAUACCCGACUGCAGUCGGGUAUUUGCACAGAUACACGACUGCGGUCGGGUAUUUGGAAAUAAACAUAAUACGCUCUGUGUAAAAUACUCUACUGCAGUCGGGUAUUUGCACAGAUACACGACUGCGGUCGGGUACACGACUGCGGUCGGGUAUUUGGAAAUAAACAUAAUAAGCUGUAACAAAAUACUCGACUGCGGUCGGGUAUUUGCAAAUAAACAUAAUAAGCUCUGUGACAAAAUACUCGACUGCAGUUGUGUAUUUGCACAAAUAUACGACUGUAGUCGGGUAUUUACAAAUAAAAAUGACAAGCUCUCUAUGAAAAAAUACUCGACUGCAGUCGAGUAUUUGCACAGAUACGCGACUAUGGUUGAGUAUUUAGAAAUAAAUAUAACAAGCUCUCUGUGACAGUCGGGUAUUUGCACAGAUACACGACUGUAGUCGAGUAUUUAGAAAUAAACAUGACCAGUUUUGUAACAGUCAAAAUACACUAUUGUACUCGGGUAUGUGCACAGAAUAAAAA
rnacentral:lncRNA from 1 species